UUCGAUUUAAUUCGUAAACAAGCAGUAGUAAUUCCUGCUUUAUCAAGAUAAUUUUUCGACUCAUCAGAAAUAUCCGAAAGUGUUAACUUCUGCGUCAUGGAAGCGAUAAAACUCUGCAGGUUGGAUACGCCAAUCAUUUUUAUCGAAGCGCGCAUAAAUUUGAGCAGAUUUGUCGUCACAGGUUGCGCCGCCAAAACGUCGGCUACAGUAACUUUUCCCAGCCUCAAUCUCAUCUCUCUUUUUGCGUUCUGCUUCAAUAUCUGGUUGAACGGCGUCGCGUCGUAACCCAGCUUGGUAAGUUGGAUUAAGCACUCCGUGGACAGAUUUGUCAUUGUGAGCAUUUUCAUCCCGAAGUUGCGGCUCAUUC
rnacentral:rRNA from 1 species